GAUGAACGCUGACAGAAUGCUUAACACAUGCAAGUCAACUUGAACUUCGGUUUGGGUGGCGGACGGGUGAGUAACGCGUACAGAACUUGCCUCACAGCUAGGGACAACAUUUGGAAACGAAUGCUAAUACCUGAUAUUAUGAUUAUAUGGCAUCGUAUAAUUAUGAAAGCUAUAUGCGCUGUGAGAGAGCUUUGCGUCCCAUUAGCUAGUUGGAGAGGUAACAGCUCACCAAGGCGAUGAUGGGUAGCCGGCCUGAGAGGGUGAUCGGCCACAAGGGGACUGAGACACGGCCCUUACUCCUACGGGAGGCAGCAGUGGGGAAUAUUGGACAAUGGACCGAGAGUCUGAUCCAGCAAUUCUGUGUGCACGAUGAAGUUUUUCGGAAUGUAAAGUGCUUUCAGUUGGGAAGAAAAAAAUGACGGUACCAACAGAAGAAGUGACGGCUAAAUACGU
rnacentral:rRNA from 1 species